UACGUAGGGUGCGAGCGUUAAUCGGAAUUACUGGGCGUAAAGCGUGCGCAGGCGGUCUGUUAAGACAGGUGUGAAAUCCCCGGGCUUAACCUGGGAACUGCAUUUGUGACUGCAUAGCUAGAGUACGGUAGAGGGGGAUGGAAUUCCGCGUGUAGCAGUGAAAUGCGUAGAUAUGCGGAGGAACACCGAUGGCGAAGGCAAUCCCCUGGACCUGUACUGACGCUCAUGCACGAAAGCGUGGGGAGCAAACAGG
rnacentral:rRNA from 1 species